AUUGAACGCUGGCGGCAGGCUUAACACAUGCAAGUCGAACGAGUGGCGGACGGGUGAGUAAUGAUUGGGAAUCUAGCUUAGGGAGGGGGAUAACUACGGGAAACUGUAGCUAAUACCGCGUACAUUAGGCUGGGCCCAAGUGGGUUUAGGUAGUUGGUGAGGUAAAGGCUCACCAAGCCGACGAUCUCUAGCUGGGCUGAGAGGAUGACCAGCCACACUGGGACUGAGACACGGCCCAGACUCCUACGGGAGGCAGCAGUGGGGAAUAUUGCGCAAUGGGGGCAACCUGACGCAGCCAUGCCGCGUGAAUGAAGAAGGCCUUCGGGUUGUAAAGUUCUUUCGGUAGCGAGGCGUUAACUACAGAAGAAGCACCGGCUAACUCCGUGCCAGCAGCCGCGGUAAUUC
rnacentral:rRNA from 1 species